AAAAAUAUAAAAGAAACAGCAAUUAAACUCAACUAUUCUUCACUAACAUCAAAUCAAAAUAUGCCAAAACUCAAAAUGAUUGAUUACAGUACAUCCAGCAGUUAUGCUACUGCCUAAGAAAACAAACACCAGAGAGAAGAAAAUGGGACAUCAGGCUAACAAUUGUCAAGUGUCAAAAGCUCUGCAUGAAGUUUCAAAACAAUAUAUACACAAUCCAACACAAGCUUUUAACAUUCACUAACAAGAAACAACAUCCUCCAGUUGAGUUAAGGAUUCAAAGAAAAUAGUCAAAUCAAUUGCUUGAAGUCUUUAUUUUCAGUUCUAUUAAUAACUCUUUCUUUUUUAAUCCAAUUAUACACUAAAACCUAAAAGCUUAACACUAUGAAGCUGCACUAAUUCAUCAAUUUUACUAACAAUAACCAACUCUUUUGCAAAACAUCCAGAGCUUAGCUAUUUAAAGACAUCACUUUAAGAUAAUUCAACAAAUUACAGCAAAAUCUCAAAUCUAUAAUAUGAAAUAGUAUGAAUACCGAAUGGAAGAAAAAAGAAAAGAAAAUUUUAUUAAAUUAAAUUAUUGCAGUAUUAAUCACAACUCAAUUAAUUUGACUAAUUUAAUUCAGGCCCAAAAUUAAUGGGAAAAUAAAAAACGAAGUCUCAACUCACUGUCUCUGGUGGCCGGCGCGAUCGUAACGACUGAACGAGGCUGCGACGGCAACAGCUGAGACCGGAGGGUGAGAUGGUGACAGAAGACGAAGAGAGUGAGAGAGGAAGGAGCUGCUGGUGGCCUGCGGCUGCCGUGCUGGGCUGCCGUUUUAGGGAAUUACGGUUUUAGCUUAGGGCCGGUUUUCCCUUCUUUUGUUUAAUUGCAUGAACCGAUCGGCUGUGCAUUCCAUUCGGUUUUGGAGCCGAACUAAGUACAAAG
rnacentral:lncRNA from 1 species